rnacentral:rRNA from 1 species
GAUGAACGCUGGCGGCGUGCCUAAUACAUGCAAGUCGAGCGAACGGACGAGAAGUUUGCUUCUCUGAUGUUAGCGGCGGACGGGUGUGUAACACGUGGAUAACCUACCUAUAAGACUGGGAUAACUUCGGGAAACCGGCGCUAAUACCGGAUAAUAUUCUGAACCGCAUGGUUCAAUAGUGAAAGGCGGUCUUGCUGUCACUUAUAGCUGGAUCCGCGCUGCAUUAGCUAGUUGGUAGGGUAACGGCUUACCAAGGCGACGAUGCAUAGCCGACCUGGGAGGGUGAUCGGCGACACUGGAGCUGGGACACGGUCCAGGCUCCUACGGGAGGCAGCAGUAGCGAAUCGUCCGCAAUAGGCGAAAGCCUGACGGAGCAACGGCGAGUGAGUGAUGAAGGUCUUCGGAUCGUAAAACUCUGUUAUUAGGGAAGAACAUAUGUGUAAGUAACUGUGCACAUCUUGACGGUACCUAGUCAGGAAGCCACGGCUAACUACGUG